rnacentral:lncRNA from 1 species
AAAGAAAGAAAGAAAGAAAGAAAGAAAAAGAAAGAAAGAAAGGAAAGAAAAAGAAAGAAAGAAAGAAAGAAAGAAAGAAAGAAAGAAAGAAAGAAAGAAAGAAGUAAAGGAAGAAAGAAAGAAAGAAAGAGUCUGGCUGAGUUCUGGCCUUCUCUCAAGACUGCUCAGUUACAGCUCUGGGGGUUGUUGUCCAGAUGCUGAGAUGAAUGGUUUCCCCCUGGCGUCUUCUUCAAGUCACUGGUGUGUGUAUUCACCUUUGGAGUCCUAACAGAACAAAAUGAAUUUUGCUGAAGGUCGUUGUAACCACUCGGAAUGGUAUACGUUGUAUUAUAAACGAGGCAAAUGACGCCUCUGUUCAUCCCGGUUAGAGCCAAUAGAGAGGAAACUUUGGAACUUCUCUUUGGACACAGGAGUAGAUAAAGAGAAAGCAUCAAGCAACCCCACUUGGACAGGUGUUUUACGUGGCUUCAGGUAAGCUCCUUUUUUUUUACAGUAGUUCUUUAUAAUCGUCACAGAAAGGGGGUGGCAUCUUGAUGCUUGCCAGAAGUCAAAGCAGACAGUGAUGACCCAGGAUUUUAAUCUACAUUUUUCUGUUUGAUUUUUUAUUUUGAUCAACUUUCAUGUCUCGUGGAAGAGAAAUGAGAAUAAAGUGAAGAUAGUGCUAAUUCAAAAAUGUUUCUUGUGACUGACAGGUUUCCUCUCAUUUGCUUGUUUAGUGAAGUCCAGUGCGCUCCCUCCAACACGCCACCUGCUGCCUGCCCUGUGGACUCCUUUGUCGGCUGUGCAAUCAGGGCCAUGCUUUACUGAGGUGGCCUCUCGGCAGGGUUUCAUGGGGUUUUCCUAUGAAAGAUUAGUUUCUUUUUUAAAAAAAUUUUAUUAGAUAUUUUCUUUAUUUACAUUUCAAAUGCUAUCCCAAAAGUUCCCUAUACCCUCCCCCCUCCCUGCUCCCCAACCUACCCACUCCCACUUCUUGGCCCUGGUGGUCUCCUGUACUGGGGCAUAUAAAGUUUGCAAGACCUAGCUAGGGGCCUCUCUUCCCAAUGAUGGCCGACUGGACUAGAAAGAUUAGUUUCAACAGGUGAAGGUCAGAGUCAAGUAAUGAUGUGGUGUGUUUAGUUCAGAAGGGAAACACAACGUUAACUUGUUUCCAGAAUCUGAUUGCUUUUUUAAUUCUGCUCUAUAAGAAAGCAAAUGGGUUAAUAAAUUAACAAGACUUGCCCCCAGAGAGAAAAAUCG